rnacentral:rRNA from 1 species
GACGAAGGGGGCUAGCGUUGUUCGGAAUUACUGGGCGUAAAGCGAGUGUAGGUGGUUGUCGUAGUCAGGUGUGAAAGCCUUGAGCUCAACUCAAGAAAUGCACUUGAUACUGGGCACUAGAGGACCGGAGAGGAUAAGUGGAAUUCCCAGUGUAGUGGUGAAAUACGUAGAGAUUGGGAAGAACACCAGUGGCGAAGGCGGCUAUCUGGACGGUUU